rfam:Desulfotomaculum nigrificans CO-1-SRB chromosome, complete genome.
UCCGUCGUGAGGUGGAGUCUGAAAUAAGCUGGAGGCAGUUCCAUAUUGGGACAAUUUAUCUCUAAUAUGGAACAGGCUGAUACC